CUCACAAGUAAAACAAGUGAAAUUCUAAGCGUUUAUAUUUUGGAUCCAUGAGUUUUUCCCAAGUUAUAAUAAACCCAACUGUCAUGCCUGCACCAAGACGAAUGCGACUAAACAAAGAAACUAUAUUUGGUACUUGGUAGGAUAACUAUACCACAAAAUAUUUCCCAGAUCUUGCAUUAUAGGCCCUGGACAAGUCUGCCAGAACAGGAAAGGCAGAAAGGGACAUCAGGACCACAGCGAAGAUGAUGCCAAAAUAUGCCACAUUACCUUCCAUCCCACAAUGGUCCAGUUAAUUCAUAAUGCAUUGUCAUCUCUGGCAAUGUUCAGUGGGCUUUACUACAUCCCCAUAAUCAGAAUUGCUACUUCUAAAUCCCCUUUACGGUCUCCAUUGAUAACCAAAUGGGUAGGGAAAAUUAUUCAGCCAAAAUUCACACAGUUGAAAUCCAGAGGAUACUUGAUCAUUUUUCUAGUUUGCCUCGAGUCCUGUUGGACCUUUGCAAACAAUCCAUUCUUUAACUCUGAAAGCAAUCAACGUAACAUCAAAAUCGAAAUCGCUAAUUCUCAAGAAUGACAAUGGUGAAUGAAAAUGGACAUGUAUUCUCAUUUGUUAUAACAUGGAAACAAUCUUCAAUGUUCCUAUUAUGGGGGAGAAAAUUAAAAUUAAUUGAACAUAAACAUUGAUUUCCUUGCGCAUUUCAUCGAACCUUACCAACUGUUCCCAAUGAAAAAGGAAGGGGAGGGAGAUUUCUUCUUCAAAUUCCAGUGACCAGAAUAUUUUGAGAUUUCAAAAACAAAGUACGGAAUUGAGAUGCUCUUACAAAAUAAGCACUAUGCAGUGGUUCAGAGUAAUUUCAUAAACAAAAUAAGCACAAUUGCCACACUACUGACACAAGGAGGGGUGAAAAUAUGAAAAGAUGUGCAAACCUUAGAUAACCGAUCAAUCACUUCCCCAUUUUCUUAAAACUCUCUCUUUAGCAGAGACCUGAAUAUAAACUUCCUUCUUUGAUGAAUCAACAAAAUCAGCAGGAGAAUCUGGAGAUAUCUUUUUCAAGAUUUUUGAUGAUACAAAAGUGAGCCCAUUUCUUGUUCCUCGCAAAGCAUUCAGCCAAGGAUUAAUGAUGACUGCAAACAUCACUUCACCUUUUGCAACCACAAGAUACAUGGCAACAAUACCUAGGAUGGUAAGACUUGUUUGCUGUGCUUCUGGCCAGAAAUUGUCACCAUUGGACCAGCCAAAUCGUCCACCCCAUCCAAACCAGCCUCCUCCACCAGAACCUCCCCCACCACCUGCUUCCUCUCUCUUCUUAAUUUCCUCAUUCCAUUUCUCAAAUUCAUUUUUCUUUCCUCCAAGUGCACUUUCUAAUGCUUUCCUAGCUUGUUCCUCUCUGCUGCUGCUACCGCCUGAAAAAAGGCAAGUGAACUUGCCUUUGCACUUCAGUUCCUGCCGCAGAGAAAUCCAGCUGUGUUUUCCAUUUGGCUCGCUGGUCUUGUUGUGGAAUCGGAUACCAAUUGGUUGGGGUCGGGUGCAGGAACUGGGAAGGUUUAAGCUAAGAACCUGCACCAUCGUUAUCGCAUUUUCCUUCUUUGGACUCGAGUACUUUCAACAAGCAGC
rnacentral:misc_RNA from 1 species